rnacentral:rRNA from 1 species
GACGAACGCUGGCGGCGUGCUUAACACAUGCAAGUCGAGCGGUAAGGCCCUUUCGGGGGUACACGAGCGGCGAACGGGUGAGUAACACGUGGGUGACCUGCCCUCAGCUCUGGGAUAAGCCUGGGAAACCGGGUCUAAUACUGGAUAUGACUCCAUGACGCAUGUUGUGGGGUGGAAAGCCUUGUGCGGCUGAGGAUGGGCCCGCGGCCUAUCAGCUUGUUGGUGGGGUGANGGCCUACCAAGGCGACGACGGGUAGCCGGCCUGAGAGGGCGACCGGCCACACUGGGACUGAGACACGGCCCAGACUCCUACGGGAGGCAGCAGUGGGGAACCUUGCGCAAUGGGCGAAAGCCUGACGCAGCGA